UUUCGAUCGUUAAUUGAUACGUGCAAACAGUUUAGUUUUGUGUGCUUUCUACUGAGUACAUGCUGCUGGAACUUUGUUUUGGCAAUCAACACGCUUCAGUUGCCAUAUUUUAUUUCCGAGACAAAAACUCACCAAGAUAUCGCCGGUGUUAUGAUGGUUUUUUCGAUCUCGAAUCUAGCAGGCCGCAUCCUUGGCGUUGUAUUAGUGUUCUUGCAAAGAAUAAACCUAAUAACACUGCACAUCAUUUCGCUGGGACUUCUAGGAGCGUUUGUUACUGCCUUUCCUCUUUACAACCACCUUACCAACUCUGAGUACGUAUUUGCUGCAUUUUGUGGGCUAUUAACUGGCUUACCGAAUUGCCUUAUGGUGCCAAUUUCACUUCAACUCGCAGACGUGUCUAGGCUGUCCGCAGCGCAUGGUUUGAGUUCAUUUGCUUGUGGUGUUGGCGUUAUUAUAGGACCACCCAUUGCAAGCGUUUGCUACGAGAGUUCUGGGUCCUACAAUAGUAGCUUUAUUGUUGCAGGUGUUGUGGCAUUAGCUGGAGCUGCAUUCAGUAUACUUACUGCCGUGUUCGAAAAACGUACAGAUACAGUGAAGAUCGUUUUAUCACAAUAAUGUUUCAUGAGAUCAUUAUUUUCAAACCGACUUUCGAAGCGAAAGGAGUGAUAUCAUUUGGUGAAAGGAUGUUUGUCAGUAGAAAUAUAUAUUAAACUAUGUGUAAGACGUGCAAAGCGAUGAUCUUUUCAUUUUAUUUAAACAUAUAAGAGACAAAGAAUGUA